rnacentral:rRNA from 1 species
AACGAACGCUGGCGGCAUGCCUAACACAUGCAAGUCGAACGAGACCUUCGGGUCUAGUGGCGCACGGGUGCGUAACGCGUGGGAAUCUGCCCUUGGGUUCGGAGUAACAGUGAGAAAUUACUGCUAAUACCGGAUGAUGUCUUCGGACCAAAGAUUUAUCGCCCAGGGAUGAGCCCGCGUAGGAUUAGCUAGUUGGUGGGGUAAUGGCCUACCAAGGCGACGAUCCUUAGCUGGUCUGAGAGGAUGAUCAGCCACACUGGGACUGAGACACGGCCCAGACUCCUACGGGAGGCAGCAGUGGGGAAUAUUGGACAAUGGGCGCAAGCCUGAUCCAGCAAUGCCGCGUGAGUGAUGAAGGCCUUAGGGUUGUAAAGCUCUUUUACCCGGGAUGAUAAUGACAGUACCGGGAGAAUAAGCUCCGGCUAACUCCGU